GUCCCCGUAGCGCAACGGAUAGCGCGUUGGACUUCUAAUCCAAAGGUCGUCGAAUCCCACCUGGGAUG